rnacentral:sRNA from 1 species
UAUUACAAUACCAACAAAACUAAAGAUUCUUAAAAGUGUCUUAUCUUGUGAUGAAAAUUUAAUAUGUAAAUUUUAGACGAUAGAAAGCAAUAAUUCUGUCGUUUUUUUA